UAUGGCAGCCAUGUUACCCUGUAACUCACAACUGGUAACUCACAACUGGUAACCCACUGAGGCUAAGCAGGUGUGAGCCUGGCCAGUACCUGGAUGGGAGACCUCCUGGGAAAAACUAAGGGUGGUGCUGGAG
rnacentral:rRNA from 1 species